AUUGAACGCUGGCGGCAGGCCUAACACAUGCAAGUCGAGCGAGCGGCGGACGGGUGAGUAAUGUCUGGGAAACUGCCUGCUGGAGGGGGAUAACUACUGUAAACGGUAGCUAACACCGCAUACCAUCAGAUGUGCCCAGAUGGGGUUAGCUAGUAGGUGGGGUAAGGGCUCACCUAGGCGACGAACCCUAGCUGGGCUGAGAGGAUGACCAGCCACACUGGAACUAGUACCCGGUCCAGACUCCUACGGGAGGCAGCGGUGGGAAAUAUUGCACAAAGAGCGCAAUCCUGAUGAAGCCACGGCGCGUGUGUUAAGAAGGCCUUCGGGUUGUAAAGCACUUUCAGCGGGGAGGCGUUACCCGCAGAAGAAGCACCGGCUAACUCCGUGCCAGCAGCCGCGGGAAUUC
rnacentral:rRNA from 1 species